CGGGCGCACUUAAUUUUAGGGAGAACAUAUCUUUAAGGGUGCAGCAGUAUCCCUACCGCGCGAAAAUGACCUUCUCACCCUUGUGUUCUCACUAUGUUGCUUUGGCGGGUCGACCUGGUUCCGACCCAGGCGGCCGGCGCCCCCAGCCUUAACUGGCCAGGACGCCCGGCUAAGUGCCCGCCAGUAUACAAAACUCAAGAAUUCAUUUUGUGAAGUCCUGAUAUAUCAUUUAAUUGAUUAAAACUUUCAACAACGGAUCUCUUGGUUCUGGCAUCGAUGAAGAACGCAGCGAAAUGCGAUAAGUAAUGUGAAUUGCAGAAUUCAGUGAAUCAUCGAAUCUUUGAACGCACAUUGCGCCCUCUGGUAUUCCGGAGGGCAUGCCUGUUCGAGCGUCAUUUCAACCCUCAAGCUCUGUUGGUAUUGGGCAACUUCCGGUGCCGGACGUGCCUUGGAAAACCUCGGCAANGGGCUCCUAGCCUCCAGCGUUAGUAUUAAAAUAUCUCGCUUNUGAAUGUGGGGAGACGGCGCNGGGAAAUCGAUCUUCGGUCUUAUUUCCAGGUGUGACCUCGUAUCANGUAGGGAUACCCCNUGNUCUUUAG
rnacentral:rRNA from 1 species